AGCAGCCGCGGUAAUUCCAGCUCCAAUAGCGUAUAUUAAAGUUGUUGCAGUUAAAAAGCUCGUAGUUGAAUUUCGGGGUCAGUAGGUCGGUCGUGCCACAGGUAUGCACUGGUCUCACUGAUUCCUCCUUCCUGAUGAACCGUAAUGCCAUUAAUUUGGUGUUGCGGGGAGACUGGACUGUUACUUUGAAAAAAUUAGAGUGUUUAAAGCAGGCUAACGCUUGAAUACAUUAGCAUGGAAUAACGGAAUAGGACGUUCGAUCUUAUUUUGUUGGUUUCUAAGAUUGACGUAAUGAUUAAUAGGGAUAGUUGGGGGCAUUAGUAUUCAAUUGUCAGAGGUGAAAUUCUUGGAUUUAUUGAAGACUAACUACUGCGAAAGCAUUUGCCAAGGAUGUUUUCAUUAAUCAAGAACGAAAGUUGGGGGCUCGAAGACGAUCAGAUACCGUCCUAGUCUCAACCAUAAACGAUGCCGACCAGGGAUCGGCGGAUGUUGCUUUUAGGACUCCGCCGGCACCUUAUGG
rnacentral:ncRNA from 2 species